GUCUAUGGCCAUGCUAUCCUGAACAAGCCCAAUCUUGUCUGAUCUCAGAAGCCAAGCACGGUCGGGUCUGGUUAGUAUUUAGAUGGGAGAACACCUAGGAAGACCAGGUGCUGUAGGUG
ensembl:rRNA 5S_rRNA 5S ribosomal RNA